rnacentral:rRNA from 1 species
GACGAACGCUGGCGGCGUGCCUAAUACAUGCAAGUAGAACGCUGAAGAGAGGAGCUUGCUCUUCUUGGAUGAGUUGCGAACGGGUGAGUAACGCGUAGGUAACCUGCCUUGUAGCGGGGGAUAACUAUUGGAAACGAUAGCUAAUACCGCAUAACAAUGGAUGACACAUGUCAUUUAUUUGAAAGGGGCAAUUGCUCCACUACAAGAUGGACCUGCGUUGUAUUAGCUAGUAGGUGAGGUAAUGGCUCACCUAGGCGACGAUACAUAGCCGACCUGAGAGGGUGAUCGGCCACACUGGGACUGAGACACGGCCCAGACUCCUACGGGAGGCAGCAGUAGGGAAUCUUCGGCAACGGGGGCAACCCUGACCGAGCAACGCCGCGUGAGUGAAGAAGGGUUUCGGAUCGUAAAGCUCGGUUGUAAGUCAAGAACGGGUGUGAGAGUGGAAAGUUCACACUGUGACGGUAGCUUACCAGAAAGGGACGGCUAACUACGUG